rnacentral:rRNA from 1 species
UACGUAGGGUGCAAGCGUUGUCCGGAAUUAUUGGGCGUAAAGAGCUCGUAGGCGGUCUGUUACGUCGGCUGUGAAAACCUGGGGCUCAACCCCGGGCCUGCAGCCGAUACGGGCAGACUAGAAUUCGGUAGGGGAGACUGGAAUUCCUGGUGUAGCGGUGAAAUGCGCAGAUAUCAGGAGGAACACCGGUGGCGAAGGCGGAUCUCUGGGCCAUUACUGACGCUGAGGAGCGAAAGCGUGGGGAGCGAACAGG